rfam:Natranaerobius trueperi strain DSM 18760 ZB100003, whole genome shotgun sequence.
AUAAAGUCCUUCGACUAACCGUAGACAGUAGGUGCCCUUUGGCUUAAAACCCUACCGAGGUUAGAGAAUUUUUUAGGUGAAGUGUAUUCACUAUACCUAUAUAAAAGUCUCUACCUGUCUUACGGUUGGAGACUUUUUUGUUUUAAAU